rnacentral:tRNA from 1 species
GGAUUGUGGCUCAGCGGUGGAGCGCUUGCUUUGCACGUCUGAGGCACUGGGUUCGAUCCUCAGCACCA